rnacentral:misc_RNA from 1 species
UUUUUUUUUUUUUUUUUUUAAAUUCAUUUGGUUAUGACCGAAACUUGAAUUUGAUAUCGCACAAUUCAAAAAAUAAUUUUAAUAUCACUUAAGUUUUUUUCUUUUUUUGAAAACAUCACUUAGUUAAAACAUUUCCCAUACUGAAAACUUUUUUUAUCUAUUUCGUUGAUCAGAAAAGGCAACAAAAGUUUAUAAUGAUGAUAUGUUCUUGACAUGUACUCUUAAGAGAUGUGUGUGUAUAUAUGUACUAAUCUACAAAGAUUAUUAGAAAAAAACUAUAUAUAUCGAAUAAUUAUCAACUAAAACAAACUAUAUUUAUGAUUAGAAUUAGUUUAUGCUAUCAUCCCAAUUUGGGAUGUUAAUUGAACUUAUAUAUGCAGAAAAUGAAUGAACAAAUAAGAUCAUACAAGAGAAAAAGAAAGAAAAAAAAAAUUUGACUUUUCAUUGCUCCUCCCUCGCAUAUGAUUAAAUUUUUUUCUUUAUUUAUUCGCGUUAAAUAAUUAGAGAUAGAAAAUUUUCUGAUGCUAAAGCUAUGGCAACACACAGGAAGAGUGAUGUUUAAUCUAUUUUACAGUUCAACAACUCCUUCUCUUGAUAUGAAAUACCUCAUCUAUUGGCUUUGUUCCUUGAUUUGCUAUCAAUGUGAGACAAGAAAUUUUGAGAUAAAUUAUUUUCACAUUUAUAUCCCUUAGCAGAUGCAAGAAGAACAAACUUGUAUUAUCUUAAACCUCCUCUAUGCGCAUAACAAAUUUUUGCACUUUCACCUAAUAUAUAUAUAUAUAUAUAGUUCCUAAGUCCGGUGUAUUUGCGAUUAUCGACCACGGUUUAGUUGAAACUGAGUUUGGUAAAUUUUUCCUAUUCUAUUUCUAAUAAAAUUUUUGUUUAUAAAAAAAUUAAUUAAAUAUUUCUCCUCUUCUAUUACUUUCUUAUAGCUUACAAUAAAGUUCACGAACAAGUUUGUCGGGAACUUAGACCAUGGAAAGAGGCAGAGCUACUUCAGUUAUGUAAUCCAAUGUGAACAAAAAUUAAUAAA